rnacentral:rRNA from 1 species
UCUGGGUCGCAUGGCUUCAUAUCGUGGCCUAUUUGCGGGUGGUGUAUACUCUCUCAUUUGGGUCGAUGUUGGGGCCGUGCAGCCUUUCAGUCGUGUCUGUGUUAACAGGUGUUGGCUAGGUCGGUGGGUUUUCUCGCUGAUCUGUCAGCAUGCUUCCAGAUGCCUUUAAACGGGUGUCGGGAGCGGACGACACGUUUACUUUGAACAAAUUUGAGUGUUCAAAGCAGGCCUGUGUGCCUAAAAAGUCUUGCAUGGAAUAAUGGAAUAGGACUUCGGUUCUAUUUUGUUGGUUUUCGGAUCCGAAGUAAU